AUAUUUUUAACACUGAUUAAUCACAACCCAUAAAUUUUUAUACUCAUGAAUCCCAAUACAUUCACUUCACACGUGGAGCCCACUUAAUAUAAUCUCAGAAGCAAAGUUUUGCCGGAUUCCGCGAUCGAUCCCUCGUUCCCAAUCGUCGGUCUCUUCCACCGGUGGCAAUGCUUCCCAUUCUCUCCAGCGGCGACGCUUCCCAUGCUCUGUUAGUGCUCGGAAACUUGUCAAGUGGUUUCAGCUCCUUGCCUGCUUCCUAGGAAUGGUUGGUGGUUCACUAAAACGUGCAAGAAAGAAAAUUUCUACUGGAAACAGAGCAUAUGAAACACAGUCUCCACCACUUGGUGAGUCUGAGGAGCCUGAUUACAAUGAACCAAAUGCACUAUGGCCAAAAGAUGUGGUUUCACGUUCUGUAAGACAUAUAAAAAUGGAAUUUGCACUGGUGGGUUAAGCAAGGGAACAAGAAAUUAAGCACAUGAAACACAAUCUCCAUCGCUUAGUGAGUCUGAGGAGCAAGAUUACAAUGAACCAUACGCAUGGUGACUAGAAGAUGGGGUCUCACAUUCUGAAAGUGGUUCAUCAUUAAGACAUAUAAAAAUAUAAUUUACAGAGGUGGGUUAAGCAAAGGAUCAAGAAACUGAGCAUAUGAAACACAGACUCCACCGCUUGAUAAGUCUGAGGAGCAACAUUGCAAUGAACCACAUGCACCAUGGCUAGAUGAUGGGGUUUCGCUUUCUGAUAUGUUGUGUAACCAUUUGAUUUAUAAACACUUAAUUUAAAAAAGCCUAUAAAUUAAAGUCUAUAUUUUAAUUUGCAUUAUGGUAUUAA